GAUGAACGCUGGCGGCGUGCCUAACACAUGCAAGUCGAGCGAUCUUCUUCGGAAGAGAGCGGCGGACGGGUGAGUAACGCGUGGGUAACCUGCCGUCUACUCUUGGACAGCCUUCUGAAAGGAAGAUUAAUACAAGAUGGCAUCAUGAGUCCGCAUGUUCACAUGAUUAAAGGUAUUCCGGUAGACGAUGGGGAUGCGUUCCAUUAGGUAGUAGGCGGGGUAACGGCCCACCUAGCCGACGAUGGAUAGGGGUUCUGAGAGGAAGGUCCCCCACAUUGGAACUGAGACACGGUCCAAACUCCUACGGGAGGCAGCAGUGAGGAAUAUUGGUCAAUGGACGAGAGUCUGAACCAGCCAAGUAGCGUGAAGGAUGAAGGUCCUACGGAUUGUAAACUUCUUUUAUAAGGGAAUAAACCCUCCCACGUGUGGGAGCUUGUAUGUACCUUAUGAAUAAGCAUCGGCUAACUCCGUG
rnacentral:rRNA from 1 species